rnacentral:rRNA from 1 species
UACGUAGGUGGCGAGCGUUGUCCGGAUUUAUUGGGCGUAAAGCGCGCGCAGGCGGUGCGGUAAGUCUGUCGUGAAAUCUCCCGGCUCAACUGGGAGGGUACGGUGGAGACUGCCGGACUGGAGGCACUCAGAGGCCGGUGGAAUUCCCGGUGUAGUGGUGAAAUGCGUAGAGAUCGGGAGGAACACCAGUGGCGAAGGCGGCCGGCUGGGGGUGACCUGACGCUGAGGCGCGAAAGCGUGGGGAGCGAACCGG